rnacentral:piRNA from 1 species
AAGAAAGUAUGAGGACGAA